AUUGAACGCUGGCGGCAGGCCUAACACAUGCAAGUCGAGCGGAUGAUGAAAGCUUGCUUUCUGAUUCAGCGGCGGACGGGUGAGUAAUGCCUAGGAAUCUGCCUGUUAGUGGGGGAUAACUCGGGGAAACUCGGGCUAAUACCGCAUACGUCCUACGGGAGAAAGUGGGGGAUCUUCGGACCUCACGCUAACAGAUGAGCCUAGGUCGGAUUAGCUAGUAGGUGAGGUAAUGGCUCACCUAGGCUACGAUCCGUAACUGGUCUGAGAGGAUGAUCAGUCACACUGGAACUGAGACACGGUCCAGACUCCUACGGGAGGCAGCAGUGGGGAAUAUUGGACAAUGGGCGAAAGCCUGAUCCAGCCAUGCCGCGUGUGUGAAGAAGGUCUUCGGAUUGUAAAGCACUUUAAGUUGGGAGGAAGGGUUGUAGAUUAAUACUCUGCAAUUUUGACGUUACCGACAGAAUAAGCACCGGCUAACUCUGUGCCAGCCGCCGCAGUAACAC
rnacentral:rRNA from 1 species